CCUACGGGAGGCAGCAGUGGGGGAUAUUGGACAAUGGGGGGAACCCUGAUCCAGCGACGCCGCGUGAGUGAAGAAGUAUUUCGGUAUGUAAAGCUCUGUCAGCAGGGAAGAAAGAAAUGACGGUACCUGACCAAGAAGCCCCGGCUAACUACGUGCCAGCAGCCGCGGUAAUACGUAGGGGGCAAGCGUUAUCCGGAAUUACUGGGUGUAAAGGGAGCGUAGACGGUUAAGUAAGUCUGGAGUGAAAGGCCGGGGCGCAACCCCGGGACUGCUCUGGAAACUAUUGAACUUGAGUGCAGGAGAGGUAAGCGGAAUUCCUAGUGUAGCGGUGAAAUGCGUAGAUAUUAGGAGGAACACCAGUGGCGAAGGCGGCUUACUGGACUGUAACUGACGUUGAGGCUCGAAAGCGUGGGGAGCAAACAGGAAUAGAUACCCUUGUAGUC
rnacentral:rRNA from 1 species